CAGCAGUGGGGAAUUUUGGACAAUGGGUGAAAGCCUGAUCCAGCCAUUCCGCGUGAGUGAAGAAGGCCUUCGGGUUGUAAAGCUCUUUCGCAAGGGAAGAAACGAUGCAGUCGAAUACCCUGUGUUAAUGUCGGUUCCUUGAUAAGAAGCACCGGCUAACUACGUGCCAGCAGCCGCGGUAAUACGUAGGGUGCAAGCGUUAUUUGGAAUUUCUGGGCGUAAAGCGUGCGCAGGCGGUUUUGUAAGUCAGAUGUGAAAUCCCCGAGCUCAACUUGGGAAAUGCGUUUUAAACUACAAGACUAGAAUAUGUCAGAGGGGGGUAGAAUUCCACGUGUAGCAGUGAAAUGUGUAGAGAUGUGGAGGAAUACCAAUGGCGAAGGCAGCCCCCUGGGAUAAUAUUGACGCUCAUGCACGAAAAGCGUGGGGAGCAAACAGGAUUUGAUACCCUGGUAGUCCACGCCCUAAACGAUGUCUACUAGUUGUUGGUGGAGUAAAAU
rnacentral:rRNA from 1 species